rnacentral:rRNA from 1 species
ACGAACGCUGGCGGCGUGCUUAACACAUGCAAGUCGAACGGAAAGGCCCUGCUUGCAGGGUGCUCGAGUGGCGAACGGGUGAGUAACACGUGGGUGAUCUGCCCCUUACUUUGGGAUAAGCCUGGGAAACUGGGUCUAGUACUGGAUAGGACCAUGCUGUAGGUGGUGUGGUGGAAAGAUUAGUUUCGGUAAGGGAUGAGCUCGCGGCCUAUCAGCUUGUUGGUGGGGUAAUGGCCUACCAAGGCGUCGACGGGUAGCCGGCCUGAGAGGGUGGACGGCCACAUUGGGACUGAGAUACGGCCCAGACUCCUACGGGAGGCAGCAGUGGGGAAUAUUGCACAAUGGGCGCAAGCCUGAUGCAGCGACGCCGCGUGGGGGAUGACGGCCUUCGGGUUGUAAACUCCUUUCAGCCAUGACGAAGCCCUUGUGGUGACGGUAGUGGUAGAAGAAGCACCGGCUAACUACGUG